GGGUCCAUAGCUGAAUGGUAGAGCAUUUGACUGCAGAUCAAAAGGAUGCUGGUGCGAAACCGGCUUUGACCUA
rnacentral:tRNA from 1 species